GCCGCCAUAGUCCAGUCGGUUAGAGCGUGGGUCUAAUAAGCCCAAGGUCUCAGGUUUGACACAUGCUGGCGACA